AUUGCAAAGUCUUCUACCUGUUUCUGCUCCAGGUGUUUCUUUUGCAAAACUAGACGGAAUAUUCUGGCACAGCGAGACCCAAAUCUGGAAAAGAAUAAAGAGAGUAAAUGGCAUACCAACAUAGAAUGAUCAAAUUGCUUAUUCAAAUGGAGUGUGGAAAGGAAGUGUCAGACCCCAACCCUGAGCAGGGUGAUCUCCUUACCUCUCCUGUACGACAGACUCCAGAGUGGCCGUGGCUAGGGAUCCCAGAGCUUUAUGCAGGUCUUCACAUAGAGCAUUAAGGUCAGUAACGUUCUGGCCUGGUCACUGGGAUCUUAGUUUUAUUCCUAAGUCUCUAAGUUAAAAUUUAAAUGCAAUUUUAUCUUUCACAUUGGUCUCACUUAUAGUAUGAAAGUAUUUCAAUACCUUCAUUUACUAGGAUUUAAGUCAGGGUUUUGCGGAACUAAAAUUUGGUUAUUUAAAAGUCCUUUUUACUUCUUUAUCAUCUAAUGUAGUAGUUCGGUUUUCUGAAUUAUUUAGUAUACUGAAUAUUAUCCAGUCUCUUCUUUCAUAAGUCACUAUUCUGUUUCAUAGUUCAGGUUGCCCAACAGUAAGGAAAUAACUGGUAAGGAUACUGAUGACAUACAUUCCUCCACCACUGUCGCCAGACUUUCCAACAAACUCUAGCUAUUAAAAAAGAGAGAGAGAGAGAGAGAGAGAGAGAGAGAGAGAGAGAGUUUUAACUGAAUGGAAAGUCCAGUGAUUCUGUUUCCAAAGGAGCAAAUCUGGCCAAGAGUCUGCAGCAGGUAGCCCUCCUAUCUGUCUGAGCUGGCCAGGUAGAAAAUGAGGCUCCCACAGGAUACCAGGUUUCAGUGGCAGAAAUAAAUCAUAAACAUAGCAGAAAAAAGAAAAAAACAAACAAAAACCAGAAAGAAAGCAAAUUCAGACUUACUGGAUCGUCUGCCAGUAGAGUGAGAUACUGAUCAAGAACUUGUUUAGAGAUGUUAUAGCCAACAGGCAGGGAUCGAAAGAUCUAUGGAGCAAAAGAGAUGGUGAAAAUGGGUUUGGGAACUUAGAAUUGCUGACAUUACUGAGAUAAAUAUGUUUUAAUUUUAGGUAUCAGAAGUAUAAAUGUGUCCAAAUGUAUAGCAGCAUUGUUUGUAAGAGUAAAAAACUAGAAACAAUCCAAAUGCACAAUAGUAAGCAACUCAUUAAAAUAAAGUACAGCAUGGCUACUAAGUGGAAUAUGAUACUGCCAUUAUGAAAAAUGAGAUUUAAAUAUACAGACAUGAAAAAGGUGGCUUAGAUAUACUGUCAUAUGAAAAAAGCAACUUUAGAACAGCAUGUAAAGUAAAAUCCUAUUUUUUUUUUGCUAAAUAUAUAUAUAUAUCUACAUAAAUGUGACAAUAAAGAUAAGUACCAACUAUUAACAGGAAUCCCUGGGGCUGGGAUCAUACAAAACUAUAUAUUUAAACUGAGGUAUUGUUAUACAUAAUAACAAGUCCAGAUCUUAGAAGUUCAGUUUGAUGAGUGUUGACAAUUAUACCCACAAUAAGAUAUGGAACAUGUCCAUCAUUCCUAAAAGUUUAGGGGGGGGCUACAACUUAAAAAAAUUAUGCAUUUCUAUGCUUCUGAAUAUAGGUCACGUAAUAAUUUUUGUCAAAAGAAAAAACCCUGAAAUCUUUGUUAUGUAACAAGUUCAAAAAAUUUUAAGUAAUAUAAAAUGAAAAUAUAAUUAUAUUUAAUAUGGAUACAUACUGUUAUGAAAUUAAAUAUGUUAUUUGAUACAUUAAAUUUUUCAUGUUUUAAGAAAGACAUAUAUUAAAAACAAAUCUGAAAUACACAAAAUGAAUAUACUCAACAAAACAAAUGUAAGGGACCAAAUAAUGUUUGAGCACCAACAAAGGUUCUCAGAUUCCAAAUAGUGGAGUCUAAGAACAAUUAGGAAUAGCUUGUACUUUGACCAAGGUAAUGGUUUAGGUUUUUAAAGGCUAGAUCCCUAGAGACCAAAUACUUUUUCUUUAAAAAAAAAAUUUUUUUUAAUGUUUAUUUUUGAGACAGAGCAAGAGACAGAGUGCAAGUGGCAGAGGGUCAGACAGAGGGAGACACAGAAUCUGAAGCAGGCUCCAGGCUCUGAGCUGUCAGCACAGAGCCUGAUGUGGGGCUCGAACUCAUGAACCGUGAGAUCAUGACCUGAGCCAAAGUCGGAUGCUUAACCAACUGAGCCACUCAGGCGUCCCUCUUUCUUUCUUUUUUAAAUGUUUAUUUAUUUUAAGGGAGAGAGAGAGACAGAGAGACAGAGAGAGAGAGAGAGAGACAGGGAGAGUGUGCAUGCAUGAGAGCAAGGAAAGGGCAGAGAAAGGGAGAGUGAGAAUCCAAAGCAGGCUCUGCAUUGUCAGUGCUGAGCCCUGUCAGUGCAAGAGCCAGGGCUUGAUCUCAUGACCAUGAAAUCAGACCUGAGUUGAAAUCAAGAGUUGGAUGCUUAACCAACUGAGCUAUCCAGGAGCCCCAAGGCCAAAUAUUUCAGCAGCUACCAUCUGAAGAGAAUCCCUGUCCUACCUGAAACAAUAAAAACUCGUUCAAAGGCUCAGACUUCAACCUAAUCCCAGGCUCUAUGUAGAAGAAUUAUAAUAUCCCACGGUGUGUCAGAAAACUAGUACAAGAACACGAAAGUCACCUCAUUGGAAGACAACGGCUGGGUGAAGGGAGCAGUAGAGGGAGUGGUAAUCUCACUCAUCCGAAGCAUAGUCCGCACGAUCUCACUGCUGGUCUGGGUUUGAAAAGUGAACUGGAAUUCAGAAUUCACUCUGCUGUGCUGGCUCUGGCUAUAUGCCAAUGGCCACAUCUAGCAAAUAAGUGAAUGUUCCUGAUCCAGGCCACUGUCCCACCCACUCAGAUAUCACCUGGUCCAUCCUGUUGGCAACUGCGCUGACAAUGGCUUGGUCACGGAAGUGCUGGUGGAAUCUGUCAAGGUUGGCCUGCCAAUAAAUCCCAUCAUCUGGAAUGGGCUGAGGAGGAGAAAAGGAUUAAAGAGAAACAUUUCGAUACAGAAAAUAUGGUGAAGAAUUUUGCAGGGGAAGAACUGGAUUUAGCUGUUCACUAUUUCUUUUCCUAUUCAGUAGCAACUACGUGGACUGGACAAAAAUCAUCCAAUCAUGUGGCAUGGUGCCUUGACAAGACAAACUCAUGAUACCCAACUUUAGAUUCUCUAAACUCACCUCUAAUCUUUCUCUGUCUCAACUCUUCGUUAAGUCUCCCAUUUACCCCUCUCUUCCUGCUCUCAGCAUAUGACCUUGCCUCUUAUUUCAGAGAGAAAACAGGCAGCCUUUUUUCUGGCAUAAGCUGUUACCACUGUCCAAUGACUGAAGUGAAGCCUCAGAAGGGGACGGCAAUGGAGUUCACACUGCUAGUUUAUUCCUGGCCAAUAUUUAAUGAAGUUCGUAAUCCUCCUACUUCUCAACCAAGGACCUUGUCAACUCUCUUGGGGCUUGUUAUCUUUGUGCUCUUUCUGCCCAUCAGGGUGAGGACUCCUGAUCAAGAAGCCCCAUUACCUCUUUGUUAUCUGUGCCAUGUUUUGGUCUUUUGGCCUUCGGCUCCCCAGCAGCAUCUUCAUCAGAUGAUCUUCUCCUUUUACCUUUUCCUGCCAAAUAAAACAGGUGACUAGUGAGGCUCAUCUCAUAUGAAGACAGGAAAUCACUGAACGUAAGAGCAGGUGUCCCUCCAUCCCAAGAUACCUCCAGCUGCCUCUAGGCUAAAAUUGCUGAGGAGCUACAAGAAAUUCAAGUUGGAGUGCCUGGGUGGCUCUGUCGGUUAAGCGUCUGACUUCAGCUCAGGUCAUGGUCUUGUGGUCUGUGGGUUCAAGCCCCACAUUGGGCUCUUUGCUGACAGCUUAGAGCCUAGAGCCUGCUUCGGAUUCUGUGUCUCCCUCUCUCUCUGACCCUCCCCCGUUCAUGCUCUGUCUCUCUCUGUCUCAAAAAUAAACAUUAAAAAAUAAUAAUAAAAAAAAAGAAAUUCAACUUAAUGAUGAAACCAUUUGAAGGCUCCAUAUAGUCACAAAAUUAAGUCUUAAUCUUUCUCCCUCAAACUGCUCCUGCUCCAAUGCUUCCUUUCAGUAAGCGGGACCAUCCUCCUCCCCCAUAUGCAAGUGUCAUUCUUGGUACUUCUGUCCUCUUUACCCCUUCUAGAUAUAAUUUUUCAAUGGGUUUGUCAACAUUUAUUUUUGCCCCAUCCUUUCUGCAGGCAGAAAAUUCUUUUAAAAAUGCAAAUAAGGUCAUGUCACUUCCUUUAAAUCCUUUGGUGGUUUUUCUUGGCUCUUAGGAUAAAAAAGUUGCUAUAGAAGGUCUUGCACGAUCUAGCCCCUGCUUAUCUUUUUUUUUAAGUUUAUUUAUGUAUUUUUAAAAAAAUUUUUUAAUGUUUAUUUAUUUUUGAAGGAGAGAGAGAGACAGAGUGUGAGCAGGGGAGGGGAAGAGAGAGGGAGACACAGAAUCGGAAGCAGGCUCCAGGCUCUGAGCCCGUCAGCACAGAGCCCGACGCGGGGCUCGAACCCACAAACCAUGAGAUCAUGACCUGAGCCAAAGUCGGACGCUCAACCGACUGAGCCACCCAGGCGCCCCAAGUUUAUUUAUGUAUUUUGAAAGAGAGGGAGAGAGAACCACUCCCAAACAGGCUCUGUGCUGUCAGCAUGGAGCCUGACGUGAGGCUUGAUCUUACCAACUGUGAGAGCAUUACCUGAGCUGAAAUCAAGAGUCAGAAGCCACCCAGGUGCCUCCCUGCCUUUCUAUCCUUAUCUCAUAGUUCUCUUACCUUUGCUCACCAUGAUUUAACUACACUGACCCAUUUUUUACUUCCUCAAAUAACCUAUUUUUUCCCCCUCACUGCAUACUAUUCCUUUUGCUAACAAUGUUUGUCCUCUGUACCCCUUCGUACGUUACAUCACUGGUUAGUUCCUACUUUUGCUUCAAAUAGUAGUUCAAAUACCACUUUCCUAAAGAAGCAUGUGUUUCAAACCUUGAUAAAUCUGGUCCUGUUAUAUGUUUUCAUAACACCACAUACUUUUCCUUCAUAAUACUUAACACCGUUAGUUACAUAUCUAUGUGGUUAUUUGAUUAACGUAAGUCUCUUACAUUAGACUUAAGGCCCAAAAGGUCAGGGACUUGUUUAUCAUUUUACACCACAGAAUAAAUCCUUGGUAACUGCU